AGCAUUCCCCAAUUGAUAAAUGGUUAAAGAAUAUGAACAAGCAGUUCUCAGAGGAAAAAUUAAAACUAUAUUUUUCUAUAUGACAAAAUGCCCCCUAACCUACUGACUAGAGAAAUACAAAUUUAAACAACUCUGAGAUACCACCCUCCCUCCUAUAGAUUUUUGAAUAUAACAAAAAAAGGAAAAUGACAAAUGUAUGAGGGAAUCUAGGGAAAUUGGGAGACUAAUACAUUGUGGAACGGUGGAACUGUGGACUGAUAUAAUAUUCAUAGGGAAACCACAUGAACAGGCCCUAAAAACUAUGCAUACUCUUUGACCCAGCAAUACCACCAGCAGAUUUAUAUUCCAAAGAGUUCAUAGAUAAGGGGAAGGGGCUUCCUUAUACAACAAUAUUUUAGUAGGUGUUUUUGUAGUGGUAGAGUUGGAAACUGAGGGGUUGUCUUCCACUUGGGGGAUGACUGUACAAACUCUGAUAUAUAGUUGUAAUGGAAUACUAUUGAGCCAUAAGAAAUGACAAACAAUAUGAAUUCAGAAAAAAGGUGGAAAGUGAAGUGGAAAUGGAAGAACCAGGAGAAUGAUUUAUGCAGUAAUAGAAAUAUUGUAUGAUAAUCAACUUGGAAGGACUAAAUUAUUAUCAGGAAAAUAAGGUUGUGAGAUAAUUCUAAGACUCCUGAUUAAAAAUGUGAUCCACAGCCAAAGAAGGAACUAUUGGAUUCUGACUGUAGAUCAAAUCAUGCCAUUUUCACUUUAAUUUCCUUCUGAGUUAUUUACUGUUAUGUGAUAUGUCUCAUGUCAUGGCAUGAGGAAUAUGGAAAUAUAUAUUGCAUGAAAGCACUAGUAUUACCUAUAUGAGACUAUUGUCUCAGGAUGGGGGGUUAUAGAAGGAGAAAGAAUGAGAAUCUGCUUCAGAAAAUGUCAGACAAUAAUUAUUAGAUAUUGUUUCCAGAUGUAAUUGAAAACAAAUCUAAAAAUUAAGAAAGAUAUCUUGACUUCAACUUAUAUGUUAUGGUUUUUCUAAGGAUAAUUGAAUAGAAGUACUCCAUUCAAAAUGCUGACUCCUUCCAUCUGGUCAGAGUCAAAUGAUAUCUGGAUCAUUGCCUUCAUUUCUAUGUUACAAAAUUUAGGAAAGUCAUUGACAACCAUAGACAUGCCUUCAGUGGUCAGCUAUGACCUUUGAUGCCCCAGCAAAAAUGUUGAAGGAACCCAUAACUGGCAUUGAUUUUGGAAUUUGGAUAUUUCUCUGUAGGAGUCUUCCAACAUGAGAAAGUGAAGAUCAUUACUAAUGUCUAAGGAAACAGAACUACCUUCUUGCCUUUACUUAACACAGAAUGUUUAAUUGUUAAUGCUGCAAAGAAUCAAGUUGCAACAAAUUCCUCCAAUAUGGUCUUUGGUGAUAAAUACCUGAUUGGUCAGAGAUUUGAUGAUUCAGUUGUAUAAACAGAUGUGAAGCUUUGGCUUUUUACAGUGGUGAAUGAAAGAGGCAGGUCUGAGGUCUAAGUGAAGUAUAGAGGGGCAAACAAAAGUUUCUAUCCAGAAGUAUUAUCUAUGGUCUUCACCAAGAUGAAAGAAAUUGCUGAAGCUUACCUUAGUAAGGUUGUCAGAAAUGUUGUCAUCAGAGUAAUAGUCUAUGUCAACAGUUCCCAAUGUGAAGCCACCAAAGGUGUUUGAAACAUUACUGGCCUUAAUGUGCCCCCAAUCAUCAAUGAACCACUUGUUACUCCUAUUGCUUAUGUCUUGGACAAAAAUGUUGGUCCUGAGUGAAAUAUCUCCAGGCCUACCGAUGAAGAUUGCCUCUUUGAAAUCAAGUCCACAGAAAGGGACACCCACUUGGACUUUGACAACAUGGCCACAUGGUCAACUAUUUCAUUGCUGAGUUUAAGUGAAAGCAUAAAAAUGAAGAGCUACCAAAACAAGGAAAAAAUACUCCAAGCAGUUAGAAAGAAACCAUUCAAAUACCAUGGAUUUACAAUUAGGAUCAUGCAGGACCUACUACAUUAAAGGAUCAUAAGGCAUGGAAUAUUCCAGGAAUGGAAAAUAUUUGGAUUUACAAUCCAGAGUCACCUACCCAGAAAAACUGAGUAUAUUCUUCCAGGGCUGAAAAUGGUCAUUCAAUAAAAUAGAUUUCCAAGCAUUCCUGAGGAUUAAGCCAGACCUAAGCAAAAAAUUUGAAGGCCAAAUAUGAGACCCAAGAGAAGCCCAGAAAAGUAAAUAAUAAAGAGAAAAUUUAAGGAACCCAUUAAGGUAAAAAUGUUUAUAUAUCUACAUGGUACAAGGAUCUCUAUAAUUCUCAAAAAUUACUCUUAGUAGUAGAUAAGAUAGAAGGAAUGUACUUAGAAAGAGGGUGAAGAAGUAAGCUGAUUAUAAUAAUGAGGUAUAGGAUGAUAUAAAAUGAUAUGCUGUACAUGUAAAUGUGAUGGUUUAGAAUGAUAUGUAUGUAUGAUAUGAUAUGCAUGCAUAUAAAUGACGUAAAAAACAAGGGCUGAAAGAGAGGGUUGCAUUGAGAGAAAAGAGAAGGGAGGGAUAGAAUGGUGUAAUUGAUAUAACAUAAAGAGGUGAUAAAUAUCAAUAUAGAGAGGGGAGGAUAAGGGUGGUGAUGGGUAAUGUUAAACUUUAUUCUCAUUAUAACUGGCUCAGAGAGGGAAAAACUAAUAUACUUAGUGAGAUAUAGAAUUCUAUCACCCAACAGAGAAGAAGGGGAAUGAGAAAAAGGAAGGGAGAUAAUUGAAAGAAGGGGGAACUAGAGGGGUGACAAAAAGCAAAAUACUAAUGAAGAGGAAGAGUGAAAGGGAAUAGAACAGGAUCUAAAGGGGACAAUACUAUAGAGGGCACUACGUAGUUAAUAAUCAUAACACUAAAUGUGACACAGAAAUAGGUUUUGAACAAUGAUACAUAUAUAACCGAGUGGAACUGCUUGUCAGAUUUGGGAGGGGGGACAAAAGAGUAGGGGAAGGUGAGGAUUAUGAAUCAUGUAACCAAGGAAAAAUAUUCUAAAUUAAAAAAAGGAAAACAAAAAGGAAUGCACAAGAAUGACAUCAGUGGGAAAAGGACUGUCCAUCUGCAUACCUCUAGUAAAUAUACAAAGUGCACCCUCUUUUCCAGUACUCAGUCCAGUACUGAGAUUGACUCCAUCUAUGUAAGCAUUGACUUCUAUACAUGUACCACCUAUGUGCUUUGUGAAGAACUGAAUACUUACCUCUUCUGGGGUAGGCUGGACCUUUGUAGAACAGGCCCUAAGAAAUGCCAGGCUAGACAAAUCACAGAUUCAUGGUGAAUGGUCUUACUUAGAUGCCCCAAAUCAAGAAGCUUCUGCAGAACUUCUUCAAUGGAAAGGAGUUCCACAAGAGUAUCAGUCCUAAUAAGUCUAUUGCCUAUGGUGUGGCUGUCUGGGCUGCUCUCUUGUCUGGAGAAAAAUCUGAGAAUGAGCAGAAUUUACAACUGUUGUUUGCCACUUCUCUUUCCCUUGUACUUGAACUUGCUGUUGGGGGCAUGAUAGUUCUUAUCAAAUUGGAUACCCCCAUCCCCAUCAAUAGUCUCAGCCUUUAAUUACCUACUACUACAACCACCUUGGUAAACUUAUUAACAUUUAUGAGGGUGAGAGAGCAAUGAAAAAGGAAAACAACCUUCUUGGCAAGUUAAGGUUAUUCCCCAAAUGGAAGUUACAUUUGAUAUCGAAAAUGACAUCCUUAAUAUUUAUGCUAUAAAUAAGAAUAAAGGCAAAAUAAGAUCUUCAUCACCAAUGAGAAAGGUCAUCUGAGCACAGAAGACAUUGAGUACAUAGUAUAAGAGGCUGAGAAAUAUGUCUGAAAAUGAGGAGUAAAGAGACAAGGCAUCUUCCAUCAAUUUUCUUGAAUCUUAUGCUUUCAAAAUAAAGGCAACUGUCGAAGAUGAGAAACUACAAAGCAAAAUUGGUGAUGAAGAUAACAAAUAGAUCCUUGACACAUGUAGUGAAAUAAUCUACUGGUUUGACCAGAAACAAACUGCUGAGAAGGAAGAAUUUGAGCAUCAAUAGAAAGAAUUAGAGAUCUGCAACUCCCACAUUAUUAAUGGUACCAGAGUACAGGAAAUGUUCCAAGAGGCAUGUCUGGUGGGCCACCAAAGGGUGGAACAGCCCCAUCUGGAGGUUCUUUUUUUUCUGAACCUACAAUUGAAGAUGUCAACUAAAUGUAGCAGAAGAAAGAGCAUUGCACACAGUUUUCUAAAAACUGAAGGACUCAAAUUUGUAGCCAAAAAAAUAGCAGUUUAAAAGAAAGAUCUAAGCUGUUGUGUAAAUUUGAGCAUUCUGAGUACUUGAAUUUGUGCACAGGGAGAAAUGAACAAUAUAGUACUAUAAAUUAAAUUAAAAUGCAAUUAUCAGCCUAUAAUAUAAAAUCUAUAAUUAGCAAAAAAGAAUUAAAAGAAUAACUCUAGUUUUUUAAUUGGAGAAGUAAGAAGAACUAGGAAUAUAGUAUUCAUUCAGCAUUGUAUCUACUAGAAAAAUCAGUAUAUCUGAAUGAUCACUAAUUAGAAGUUCUAAAACAGUAAUGUUGGAAUGUUUUGUAUGGUUUACAGUACAGUUUACAGUAAGUUAUGAUCAAGCAUUAUUUUGUCCUUCAACUUUGUUUUCUAAGAGAAAUAAAUGUUUCCUCACUGUAAAAACUGAUGGCUUCUGGAAAUAAAUCAGUCUCAGUUGAUUUUAGUUUUUGAAUCAAAUUUUCCAUGUUCUAAUUGUCACCAUAUGGCCUGGCAUCAAUGAUCCAGACAACCUAAAACCUGAGAUGAGACUGUCUUACAGAAAAAUGACAAUGGUCUAUAUUUUCCUCACCACUCUUCUAUCUCUCUCCCCUAUUAAUCAAUGUCCUUGCCUCUCAAAAGAAAGUAAUUUUCCAUUUUGAGAAAAUGUCCAUGAUCCUUUAUCAAAACAUAUUACUGUUCAUAACAUCUAAGAAAAGGAGGUUCUUUGUAGAUUCUGGAUAAUUAUCUGACCCUUGAGGAAUGGAACUCCGAAGACAAAGAAUAUUCACAUGGCCAAACCAGAAAACUAUGUUCAGCCACUUUCUUAUGGUCUUGCUUGUUUAGAAGUAUCAAUUAUUCUAAAGGAUUAGCAAUUUAUUUGGAUUUUUUCCUCCUGUGGGUAGCUAAUAAUGAAGAUAUAAAGUCAAGGCCUUCUUCAAUAAUUUUACAUUAUCCUAGUCACCUAACAAGUAGUAUCAAUAAAGAAAUAACAUGAAAACAUAUGUAAAGUUAAUAAAGUAAAGGAGACACUUGGAUUCAAGAUAAAUUCAAGACUUGAAUGCCUUGUUAACAAGAGCAAAAUGUGACUGUUGGAAGAAGAGAAAAGCAGUCAAGGUUAGAUAGAUACAAUUUGAAAUCUUGCAGCUAUAGAUUUUUGGAUUAAAAAGGGAAAAAAAAAAACUUGAGGCCUCAGCCUCGUGGAAAUUCAAGGACAUUUGUUACAAAGAAUCCUUGUAACUGAACCCAUAAAAGGACCAUUUAAAAAAAAAACAGAGAAGGUAUCAGAACUUCUUUGGUGGCUACCUAAUUGUAUAAAUCAUCCUUUGCUUUCAAAUAUAACAGGAAGCUACUAAUCAUCUUUUUACUUCUUUGGCUGAGAAUGAAAUCUAGUGAAGUUAUCUUAUAAAUCAACAGGUUAUAUAAUUAACACCAUCCAAAAAAAAUCUGGGGAAAAAUACUUCUUAUGUUCAUCUUACUAAGAGGCCUCAAAAAUUUCCUACUUCCAUUUCUUAACAAUAAACUCAUCUGGUGUUAACAUUAUGUCUUUCACAGCCCCCAAUUAUGUCUCCAUAAUACCACCCCAAAUAAUAUAAAAUAAUAAAAUGGACACAGUUAAUCAUUUUUAUAACUAAGUCACAAGAACCAUCAGAAAAUUAAGGAAGCUAUUAUUGUUUUUAUGUUCUCCUGGGUAGGUUUUUUCUGUUUGUUUUACUACAGAAAAAAUUAAAAUGUGAUAAUUAUCUUGAAGAUGGACAUUUCCAUGGAGAGCAACUAAUUUGAUACCAUCAUUUUUUUAAUAUUAGGAAACUGAGGGCAUGAAAGUAUAAUGACUUUCCUAAAACAGAAGAAAAAGGAAAGAUUAUAAUUUAGGACACAUUUCUUUUUAACAUAUAAGUAGUACAUCUAUUAUCAUUGUGACAGAGGCUGGCACUAAAGAAAAGUGCCAAGCAGAAGAGUGUGUGGAACUGAUCACCUUGACAGGGGAGGGGCCCCAAGGGAUUGGAAUCUUGAGAAGAUUCUGUCUAGAAGAGCAGUUGGUCUCUCAGUUGGGAGAAGCCAAAGAGAUAAGGGUAAAAAAGACUUUCUCCUGAGGGUUACUCACUUUUUCCUGUCUAUGUCUGGAAAUCCUUCCCCCCAACAUUUCCAAAUUGAAAAGAUUAUUGAAGAGGAAACCUGAGAAAGACAUCUUAAAUCUCUGCCCAAUUUUACCUCAGCUCCUGUUGCCCUGAGUCUUAAGUGUGGCCAAGGGGCCAAACCCAGGCAAAUGUCUUCUUUCAAUACUAAAAGGAAGAGUGAAAGCAUUGCUUGAGAAAUUUAGGAAGCAUCUGGUAGCUAAAGGCCAAAUUUACUAUACUAAGAAGAGAAAAGAGGAGAAACAGAGAUUAUGAAGCAGCAAGCAAGCAAUGACAGAAGAGUGUACCAGGUAUGUAGAAUAACAACCACUACUCUCUUGAUUAUCAUCUUUUCUUAGGACAUGAUGAAGAUAGCUCAAUGUUCUGAACCCAUGAGCCUUCAAACAGAGUGAAGAGCCCUCAAUUUAAUGCCUUCUGUAUGUUCAGAUCUGGGCUAGAUGUUGGAAAGAAUACAAGAUAAGAUUCAAGUAUGGUACCUACUUCUAAGUGUCUUGUAGAAAUAGAAGAAAGAAAGACAGGAAGAAAGAUAACUUGUAAAGAAGAAAGAAAGAAAGAAAGAAAGAAAGAAAGAAAGAAAGAAAGAAAGAAAGAAAGAAAGAAAGAAAGAAAGAAUGAAUUAAGGAAGGAAGGAAGGAAGGAAGAAACAAAGAAAGAAAAAAAUUACUACCUACCACUACCAGGGAGUUGAUAGAUUUCUGUUUGUCUAGAUGUGUGAUAUAGAAAAUAAUUUCUAUUAAAAAGGGAGACAUUGUAUUUGAUAUUCAGCUGCAUGAAAUUGAAGUCUAAUUUCUAUUUCUAUUUUUAUUUGAAUCUUGUAUACUUUUAAAAUAUGUACACAAGAGUUGUGAAGGCAAUGUUUUACUUUAUUGGAUCAUGUUUAUUAAAAGUAUUUGGUAGAAAAGGGAAUAUGAGAACAAAGAAACCUUAUAUUUUCUGUUUAUUUCCGCUAAUGGUAUGAUUGUGAAUAUAUGAAUUUUAUGAGAUAUUACUCACCAAAACCAUCUUAUGUAUUUGAAAUUUUCUUUGCUAUAAUGCCUUUACUGUAUGAUAAAAUGAUAUUUAGACAUUUUUAUAAAAAUAUAAAUGAACUUAUAUUCCACAAUGCAAAAAAAACUAGACCUACAACCACAAAUCACCCACCAGGUCAAACUGAGCAUAAUACUCUCAAGAAAGAAAGAAAUAUUUAAUGAAAUAGAAGAAUUCUAAGCAUUCCUAACAAGAUGGACAGAAAUAGAAAGAAUUUCGAAUGAUCAAAUUGAACAGUCAAAAGAAGCUUAAAAAGGUUAAAAAAGACAGCCUCAAGGGAAUCAGUGGGGUUAAACAAAUCAUAUCCCUGCAUGGGAAAGUGGUAAGUAGGAUAAUUAAGAUUUCUUUAAUACAUGAGAUACCCAAAGUACUUGAUAUAAUUAAAGUACUCAAGAGAAACAAUGACAUUAAACUAAUUAUAUUCCUUGCAUGGGAAAGUGAUAACUAGAAUAAUUAAGAUAUUUAUAGUGCAAGAAAUAUACAAGAUAAGGUAAGCAAGGGAAACAAAGGGUUUAAAUUGAUUACUAAUCAUAAGAUAAUAAGUAAGAUACUUAAGAUAUUUAAGAUACUUAAAGUGCCAAAGAUACCUAAAGUAUUUAGAAUACUUAAGGUAUUGAAGAUAUUUAAGAAUUUUUCCCUAUUAGGGCAAUGAAUAAGAGCAUAUAUAGACAGAGAGCAGGGAGUAAGUUAAAUAUAAUAAGAUAUGAUUUUUAAAAACUGACAGAUGAGAAAGUUAUACAUUGCUAAAAGAAAAAAAGGAAAAAAUGUUAUGGGAAAAUUAUUUCACAUGAGGAGGCAUGAAAGAAUCUAUAUAGCAGAGUGGAAGAUAAGGGUUAUUUGGCAAUAGUGGAAUCUUACUCUCAUCAGAAUUACCAUAGAGUGGGAAUAAAAUCCAUGCUGAGUUAGGUAGAGGAAUCUAUUUUAUGCAAAAGAGAAGUCAGAAUGGAAGAGGGAAUAAAAAAGAAAGGGACUGACAAAAGGAAAGGAUAUUAAAGGAAAUUGGCAAACAAAGCAAAAACAUUUGUGAAUAGUAAAGGAUGAAAUGAAAGAAAGAGGAUAAGCAUGGGAAAAUAAGAUGUAAGGAAACACAAUAAUCAUAAUUCUGAAUGUGAAAAGGACAAAUUCACUCAUAAUGCAAAAUAGCAGAGUGGAAUGAAAGCAAAUAAAUCACAAUACGUUGUCUACAAGAAAUUCAUUUAAAGCAGGAAGACACAGAGUAAAGGUAAAGGGCUAGAGCAAACUCAACUAUGUUCCAGAUAAAGUUAAAAAUGCAGAAGUAGCAAUUAUGAACUCAGACAAAGCAAAAGUGAAAAUUGACUUUAUUAAAAUAGAUAAGGAAGAAAAUUACAUAUUGAUAAAAAGAAUCAGAGAUAAUGAAGUAAUAUUAAUAUUAAAUACAUAUGCUCCAAUUGGCAUAAAAUCUAAAUUCUCAAAAGAGAGAAAACAGACCAAAAACCUAUAUUAGUAGGGGACAUUAACUUUCCCUCUUAAAAUGAGAUAAAUCAAACCAAAAAUUACACAAGAAAGAAAUUAAGGAGAUGAAUAGGAUUGUAGAAAUUUUAAAUUUAUAGACCUCCAGACAAAACUGAUUGGAAAUAAAAAAGGAAUAUACCAGGGGCAACUGGGUAGCUCAGUGGAUUGAGAACCAGGCUUAGAGACUGGAGGUUCUAGGUUCAAAUCUGACCUCAAACACUUCCCAGCUGUGUGACCCUGGGCAAGUCACUUGACCCCCAUUGCCUAGCCCUUACCACUCUUCUGCCUUGGAGUCAAUAUUGUGUAUUGGCUCCAGGACAGAAGGUAAGGGUUAAAAAAAAGGAAUAUACCUUUGUCUCAGCAGUAUAUGGCACCUUCACAAAAAAAAAAGACCAUUUAAUAGGACAAAAAUUCAGAACAAAAUGCAGAAAGUCAAAUAAUUGCAUCUUUUUUCAGAUCAUAAUGCUAUCAAGGUUACACUGAACAAAAGGCUACAGAAAAAAAAGAAUAAAAAUUUAUUGGAACCUAAAUAGCCUUAUAUUAAAGAAUGAAUGAUUCAAAUAGUAAAUCAUACAAAAAAUCAGCAAUUUCUUUAAAGAAAAUGACAAAGUGACAAUAUACCAAAAUUUUAGAGUUUCAGCCAAAGCAAAACUUAGGAGAAUGUUUUUUUUUUUUAAUUUUUAAAUGCUUACAUCAGUAAAGUAGAAAAAGCUGAUGAAUGAAUUGAGGAUGCAACUAAAAAAAUAAAAAAAUAACUCCCCCUAAUUAAACACCAAAUGGAAAUUCUGAAAAUCAAAGGUGAGAUAAAUAAAAUUGAAAGGAAGAAAAACUAUUGAAUUGAUAAAUAAGACAAGCUGCUGGUUUUAUUUUUAAGAUUCAGUAAAAUAGAUAAACCAUUGAUUAAUUUGAUCAAAAAAGAAAUUCAAAUUGCCAACUUUGAAAAUUAAAAGGGUGAGAUUGCAAUCAAUGAAGAGGAAAUUAAAGCAAUUUUUAGUAAUCAUUUUGCCCAAUAGUAUGCUAAUGAAUUUCAUAAUAUGAAUGAAAUAGAUUAGUAUUUAAAGAAAUCUAAAUGGCCCAGAUUAAGAAAAGAUGGAAUAUUAUUUAUUCAAUUCUAUCUCUGAAAUAAAAACAAAUAUUUAGCCUAAUUCAGGUGUUAUUAACAUUUUUUUUUCCUUUAGUAACAUUUCAGAGUAUAUCAGUAAUAUGUAAUUUGAUGGUUCUUAGGGAGUUAUUGAAUUGACUUUUUAAUGUACUAAAAAGCAGAGAAUUCACAAAGGAGACAAUAGUUGACCAGAAUCUUGAAUAACCAUUAAUAUUUGAACCAGUCACAGAAAUAGAAGGAAAUAGAUAGAAGUAGAAUGGUCAAAAGCUCAGGGGUAAGAAUGGUAAGGAAUAUCAGUAAGAGAAUUUAAAUUAUUUGUUAGAAAUGGAAUAUAUCUUAAAGCAAAGUAGAUUGCUCAAAGUGACAGUUAGCUCUGCAACUAAUACUCAAAUACAGAUCCCAAGUUCCACUCCAGCAUUGCUGUUUGUUUGUUUGUUUUUUCCAUUUACAUUAGGAAUUAAAUACGUAUCCCAUAGGUUACAUGCAACCCAGAAUAAUAUAGACUGCAACCAAAACCAGAUAAAAAUGGGAAAUAAUUAAGAAAAUAAAAUAAAAAUACAAUAAUAUGUAGACAAUAUAGUAUUUUAAAACAAAAACUAUUCAACCCAUAGGGUUUGUUAUGUACUAAUUAUUGGACCCUCUUUCUAUUUGAGUUUCACAGCAUUAAAUUAAACCAUGUUUUCUGGAUAGAGUAGAAGGAUUUAGGUUGAGUAGUAGUAUAAGACAAGCCUGGUUUCAUUUAUGGAUGACAACAAAUAUUAGAAUCAGUCAAAAACAUUUGUCAUAUAUCUACUAUGUACCAAUAUCAGGUAUUAUGGAUAAACAUAAAAUGAAUGAAGUAAUCUCUGCUUACAAGGAGAUUUCAUUUUAAGGGUGGAUAAGGAGUAGAGAUAAUAAAAAACAAAUUAAUAUAAAGUAGGUAAUGAUAACAUACUUUUGGAGGGAAAGUAUUAUUGGGGGAAAUCUGAAAAAUCCUCAUGUGGAAGAUUGUGCCUGAGAUGCAUUAUGUAAUAUGAAAGAAUUCUGUGAGGCAAAGGUUAGAAGGAAUGUAUUCCAUGCAUGGCAGAGAGCCAAUCUCCAUGGCACAUAAGAGGUGAGAGAAAGAUUGUCAAGUGUGACUUGAUCUUCAGGCUGUUGGGAACUAAUUAAAGUUUCCAAGAACAACAAUGACAUGAUAACAGAUUGUUUAAAAGCAGUAUUUAUUAUGGAAAUGUUCCAUAAGACUGACAGAUGGGAGAAAAGCAAAGAAGAAGAAAAUACAUUGCAUAUAAUUUUUCAAUACCCCAGACUGAGAUGAUAAAGGCUUGGACUAGGGUAUGAGCAAGGCAAAUAAGGAGAUAGUAGAUUCAAAUCUGGCUUCAGACACCUACUAUCUAUGUGACCCUGGGCAAGUCAUUCAAUACCAAUUGCCUAGCCCUUGCCACUUUUCUGUCUUAGAAUUGAUAAUAAGGCAGAAAGAAAGGAUGUAAGCAAAAGGAGAGUAAAUAGUGAUUUACUAGGAUGAAAGAAUAGCAAUUGAUCCAUAAGUACCGAAGGAAAAGUGUGAAAUAAAAACGACUUCAGGUCUUUAGGUUAUUUGUCUCUGAGUCCCCAGGAAAAAUUACUUUUACUCUGGGCUCCAUUUUCCUAUCUAUAAACAGAAUAGACCAAGAUAAUUUCUAUGAUUCUACCCAUAUAUUCUAUCUAUAAAAUAGAUACAUUAUUUGGAAAUAAAAAGUGAUACCAUGAAUAAAUUAGAGAAGCAAAAAUACUUUACCAGUUAGACCUAUGGAAAUACUAUUAUACCAUAAAAAAGGCAAAUAAGAUGAUCACAAAAAAUCCCUGGAUGUAUUCAAUGAAGUGACCCAAAAUUAAAUGAGCAGUCAAGAGAAUGUUUUACACAGUAACAACAAAAAUGUAUGAUGAUCAACUUAAGUAUUACUAAAAAGGUGCAAAUCCAGAACAACUCUAAGAGACUCAUUCAAAAAAAAAAAAAGAAUAUAUACCACCAUAGAAGGAAAAAACUGAGUACAAAUCCCAACUUAAACAUAUCAUUAUUUAUUUCCUCCAUAAUUUUUUCUCUAGAGUAAGCAAUUUAUGUAUCGUUUCGCAACAUGAUGGAUAUAGAAAUUUAUAAUAUGAUACCAUAUGUACAACAUAUCAAAUUGCCUUUUUCAGAGGGGCAAGGGUAGGAGGGAUAGAGAGAACAUGGAUUGCAAAAUAUCAGAAGAUAAUUUUAAUUGUAUUAAUAUGGAAUAUGGAAUAAUUAAAAUUAAUUAUUAUAAAAGAGAAUAAUAUUAUUAUAAAUAUAAAAAGAAAGGAUAAAGUGGCUAAAAGUGAUAGCCUAAUAAGUAUGAUUUUAGAUUUUUUUUUAAAAUCUAGAAUAUAAUUUUAGAGAAAUGGUUGAGAAAAAUGUAUAAUGUAAAAUGGUGAUUUAUAAAAAUCAGCAUCUCUCUAUGAACCUUAAAUAAUGUCAGGCAAACCUCAUUUCCUUAUUUUCACAAAUUUAUUAAACUAAUAGAAAAGGAAGAUAUGGAAAUAGUUUACCUAGGUUCAGCAAAGCUUUUGAUUGUAUAACCUCUAAUAUUAUUGUGGAGAAUGGAGAGGUACAUGAAUGAGAUGAAAACAGAUCUGCUUAGAUAAGGAGACUGAAAGAUUAUUUGUGAAUGAUUCAAUGGUAUUAUGUCAGGAGGCCUUCCGUGAAGUUAACACAGUGAUCUCUGCUUCACUUUAAGCUGAUUAAUAUUUUUUAUCACUGACUGGGAUAAAAGGAAUAAGUGACAUGAUUAUAAAAAAAUAUUUCAGAUGACCUGAAGCUGAGAGAAAAAGUUAAUAAACUGGAUGACUUAGUUGGGGGAAUUCAAAAAGUUCUAGAAAGGUUAGAGCAGUGAUAUUGAAUCUAAUCAAAUGAAAUUCAGUAGGAUAAAUGCCCAUCUAUUGCAUUAUGAUUGAAAGGAAAUUUGAUUUAUAUUGCCUUUACAUUAUUGAUCAUGAACUAAGUGAUCACAAAAUAUCCUUUAGGUAGAUAACUACAACUAUGAUUUUUAGAAAAAGUUAGACCUAGUUAGUAAACUCAACAUAUAUACGAUGUCAAUUAUAAUAAUAGAAUAUUUACUAUCAAUUUAGAAAGUUUACUAGAUAGGAUAUAGUAUAUUAGACUAUUGUAGCAGUUAAUAAUAUUUAAAACCUUUUUGGGAUACAUAAAUCCACAAAGAAGGUGGAGGAAUUAUUGAGCAAAGAUUGGCUAAAGGUUAUUUACAAUUUGCCUUAGUUUUACACAUUAGUUCAUUGAAAAUUAUUUGUGUCCAAUAAAAAUGAUCAAAUUUAAUUCAUUCCCACUAUUAAAUUAGGUUUUUCCUAUUUGCUGAGGAUGAAAGUACAGAAACUGUGCAAAGGAUCAGCCUCACUAUGGAAAGAAAUGAGAACUUUAAUGUCUUUCAUUUCCUACCUGUACCAUUUUACCCUGUUUAUGCAACCAGCCAGAUCCCUUCUCUCUGGGACUCACCUUAUUGGUAUCAGACUUAGAGCUGACAUCCUAUUAAGUUAGUACACUGUGGCUCAGAAGUCCCAAGUUCAAGUGAUCCACCAUCUUAAGCCACUUUGAGCACCAUGGAUUACAAGCUGGUGCACUAACUCUCAGCUGCAUCUUUACCUGAAAAUGAGUUAAAGAAGAGAGUCACUACUGUCCAGGAAAAAGAAUUAUCUCUCAUGACAGCAUCCAUGGGAAGAGUAUCUGUGCUUUUUUGACACUUAACUGAGUAAAAUGGAUUGUAAUACUAGGAUUCCAAAGUGGAUGUACUAAAAAUUCCCAUCAGGUAUCAACAUGUUAUUGAUGGUAUUAACUAGAAAAUUUUCAGGGCCACAUUGCUUAGCAUGCUGCCUAACACAUAAUAGGUAUAUAAUCAAUGUUUAUCAAUAGAUUUUAACUGUAACCAUGGAAUAUGGGUUGAUAAUAUCUGAUAAGAAGAAAAAUCACAGCAUAAAAAUGCAAUUUGAUAAGAUUUUCUUUAUACUGCAACAAAGCACUUGCCACCAUUUCCCUUUAUGCCUGUAUUAACUAAUCCUAUCAUAUAUAGUUUAGAUUUUUAAAAUGAGAAACAGAGCCAAAGACAUCAAAUCAUGAUGUGCAUUUAUAUAUCUCUAGAAGGUAUAAUUCUAACUACACAAUUUUGAACCUAUAAUAUUAUAUUCGCUAAGUUUAUCUAAUAAAAUUACUAUAAAUUUGAAAUUGCUAACAAAAUUAUUGUAAUCUCCAAUAAAGGAAAACUUGUGAAUUAGUAUGCAAGAAUGAUUUGACUAUAGAGCAUGUCUAAUUUGAAAGAAGCCAUUCAUGACUUUUGGGUUAUGAGAAAGUUUCACUUUUCUCUAGGAAAAUAUCCUGCUUUAUUCAUUGAACUGAACAAAUAUUCAUUAUGGCAUUUUUGUAGAUGUUUAUUUUUUCCUUCAGAGCUUAUUUUUAUUACAUGUUUUGAUUUGUAAUUCAUUUAUUGACCUAGAGAAAAUGAAAUAUUCAUUAACAAAGGUGAUGUAGAAACUAUUCCAAUUAUAGGUUGCCAUAGACAUAUCUUCCUAUAGUAGCCAAUAAUAGCCAGCUUUUCUGCCAAUCUUUCUUUAUUAGUGCAUUUCUGCUAAUCAACCUACAUAGGAGGAACAAGACAACUACAUCUCUGUGGGCAAUUCAUAUGCCCUUUUUGAAAAUAUUUUUCCAUAUUACAUAUCAACACAAUUCCUUAACAUUUGCUUUCUGAUAUUUUUCUAUCCAUGUUCUCUCUAUCCCUGCCACCCUUGCCCCUCCUCAAGAAGGCAGUUAAUAUGAUAGAGGUUGUACAUAUCUUAUGUAAUAUAUAUUUCCAUUUUUAUCAUGUUGUGAAACAAGAUACAAAUUGCUUACACUAAAGAAAAAUUCAUAGAAGAAAGAAAAGAAUGGUAUGUUUCAAUUUCAUUCAAGUACCAUCUGUUCCUUCUAUGGCAGUGGAUAUCUUUUUUUAUUGUCUUGAGUCUCUUUGAGUUGUUCUGGAUCAUUGCAUUGUUGAUAAUAGUUAAGACACUCACAGUUGAUCAUUUUACAUUAUUGUUGUUACUGUGUACAAUAUUCUCCAUGUUAUGCUCAAUUCACUUUGUAUCACUUUAUACAUCUUUCCAAGUUUUCUUGUGAUUGUCUUAUUCGUCAUUUCUUAUGAUACACAUUAGUAUUGCAUUACAAGCAUAUCCACAAUUUGUUUAGCCAUUCCCCAAUUGACAGACAUUCUUUUUACUUUCCAGUUCUUUACUAACACAAAAAGAACUGCUCUAAAUAUCUCUGUAUAGGUAGGUUCUUUCCCCCCAUCUUGAAUCUCUUUGGGAUACAGGUCUGGUAGUGCACAGUUUGGUGUCCUUUAGGUAUGGUUCCAGUGUUCUACAGAAUGACUGUAUCAGUUUGCAACUCCAUCAGCAGUGUAUUAGUGUCCCAAUUUUUUCACAUCUCCUCCAGCACUAAUUUUCCUUUCUGUCAUGUUACCAGUUUAAUGGGUAUAAGAUGGUAUCUCAGAGUUGUUUCAAUUUGCAUUUCUCUUAUCAUUAAUGAUUCAGAGCAUUUUUAAAUGACUGAUGAUAGUUUUAAAUUCUUCAUCUUGUAAUUGCCUGUUUGUAUCCUUUGACCAUUUGUCAAAUGGUAAAGGGAGCAUAAGCACUGACCAACCCUGAAAAUUGAUGCUAUGCCCACACUGAGGUCUCAUGGCAAGGGCCAAGGUUCAGUAUAAAACAAAAUGUUGCAAAGUCAAUUUUCUUGUUGUGGUCAUAUCAGAAAGUCACAGGGUUAAUAAGUGCUGAAAUCUUCAAUAGAAAAAAUUAAUUAGUGGGGUCUUUACAAAUUGAUUAGGUUAAUCUGCUAUUGCUCAAUAACAGACUAUCAUGGAAGCUUCCACUGCUUCAACUUUUGGCCAUUCUGGCCCUUCAGAUUACCUUUACAAACAACUUUGGAAUUUACAUCUCAAAGAUUGAUAGUAGAAGUAUUUGCUAGUCCUCCUGUCUUCCAGAUCAUUUCUCAAUCAAGAAUCUUCUUUCUUCUUUUUUCUUUCCUCAAAUUCCAUAUUUCAAGCUCACAACAGUUUAGGACACUGCCCUGACCUUUAUGUUACAUAGGCCAUAACAACUGGGAAAUCACACUUUUAACCUAGGAUGACAUCUGGAACUGGAAUAAAUACUUUUUUCAGUCAAUAUUGACUUCAUUCCAGAGCUUUUGCUUAGUUUUGGUUAAGGAAUUUCUAUGACUACUUGGGUUGUUAAGCUUGUCUUAUAGUAGCUCCCAGAUCAAUGCUUGUGCUUUUGUUUUGCAAAGAGAGGAAGCCCACAGCAACUCCAAAGUGCUUAGAGGAAAUUUACUGCCCAUGUACAUGUACUACAACUCCAUCUCUUCCUAUGGUAUAUUCUCCCAUCACAAAGAAAAGCUAGUGGUGACAAGUCAAAACAAAUUAAAUAACUGAAACUUCAGUAGCCUUCCACCAUAACAAUGUUGUUUCCAGAAUACACAUUAGGCAAAAUGACCCUAGGUACCAUCCUAACAUGCUCUGCUGGUGGAAAUCCUUCUAAAAUUUAUUUCCUACCCAUUGAAAAAAGUUAUCAAGCUAAAGGUCUGACAAUGUCUUUCCAUAAAAACAAUGAGGAUAUAAUUGGAAAAAGUCUCAUUUGGAGAAAAUAACUAGACACUAGCGAAUGGUUGCUACAAUCCCACUAUUCAGAGUCAGACUAUUUUCAACAAUUGGAAAAUUAUCUCAAAGGGAAAAUAUGUGCAUUUGAUCCAAGAGUCAAACCCAGGUUUGUUAUAUGUACAUGUAAGUUCUUCAAAUGUAUUCCAUGAAGGUGCUUUUGACUCUGAGCUCUACACCAAACAAUAACAAUGAAUGAAUGCAUUGAGGGUGAAAAAAGAAUGACUGGCAUUGCAUGAAUUCAGAGAAACACCACCUGUGCAUUUGUUUCUGCAUCUCACCUUUAUUCCUUCUGCUGUGGACAUAGUUAUCUCCUCCCAUAGUAAAUCUGACUGAACCUACAAGAAAUGAUUACUUCAUUUACUUUUCUAGCUGGGGAACUGGGUUAUCCACCUAGUUAUUUGUAUGCAUCAUGAACAUUUAGGCCAAAAUUAAGAUGAAGAGGUGGAGGUAUUGAAAUAAAUAUGCACCUUAGAGACCUUUCACAUGUUCCAUAAAUUUCUAGAUUGCUUAAUUGACUCCUUCUCCCUCAGGCAACUUGAGCCAAUCAAUGUCAAGGGUUUAGGAUUUCUCCUUAGUUUGGAGGUACUAUUGAUGUCUUAGAAAAGAAUUGUUAGAAUUUCACAUUCUCUUCAUUUCUUUGUUAUUCUAUCUCAUCUUCCUUUCCAUACAAAAGAUGUAAAAUGAAUUCCAGCAAAGUUGGACAAAAAAGCAGAAUUCACAGAAAACUGAUCAUAAAUCUAUGGAAUAGCAGAAAAUAUUUCUCCCAUUGUCAAAGCAAAUGCUCAUUCUUUUCUUAGAAUGUUUUGUUAUAUUUCUCUGUCCCUGUUUCUUUUUCCCUUUGAGUAACUCCUCCUUAGAAUUAUAUUGCCAAAGGAAUAAUGUAAUAGACACAGCUAGGUGACUCAGGGGACAGAGAGCUGGGCCUAGAGAUAGGAUGUCCUUGGUUCAAAUUUGGCCUCAGAUACACACUAGCUUUGUGUCUCUGGACAAGCCCUUAGUAUUAUACCAAUACUUAAUACUAAUUCUAAGACAGAAGGUAAAGGUUUGUUUUUUAAAGGACUAAUGCAAUAGCUAUCUCCAAAAUAAUAUAAGUAUUAUCAAAAGAGAUCUUUAUUAUUCCUUGUUGUUCCAAGGCAUAGAAUCAUAGAAUUAGAUUAGAAGUUACUGGUGGGCCAAUUAUGAUAUUACUGGAAAGAGGAAGGUUGAAGGAAUUUCUAUGACCCCUUACAGUAGUAAAGUUCUAUGACAUGUCUACCAAGUUUAAAUAUAUGAUUUGUCACUAAUGUUGUGCUUCUUAUCCUACCCCCAAAGGAUAACAGAAAUGAACUAGUAUAGAACUCUGCCAUAAGUAUCUAAUAUAGAAAGCAUUUUUACCAUUUUCUCUAGAAUAAAACAUUCCAAUGUUUUCAAUCUCAUAUUACAGAAGAUGGUUCUAUAAAGUUGGGUUUACUUAUAGCAUUGUCAUAAGAUUAAUCAAAUAUAUAUGUUCCUUUAAGUCCAUACCUGCUAAUUUCACAAAGUUAAAUUAAUUGUGACUGUGACACAAUUUGAAAUGUAUUUUAUGAAAUCAUUUUACCUUUAGCAGAAAGGAAGUUUGGCUUUCACAUAUCGCCCCAACAUAAAAAAAAAGAAAAGCCACUGGACUUCCUAUUUGGGAAAUAUUUUUGCUGUUCAUUAUAGUAGUCUGUGUUUUAAUAUUCACCAACCAAUAAUUAAAUGAUCUCUUCAUGUUUUUCAUAGAAUAAAAAAUUUAUAAUAAAACGUCACAAAGGAAAAACUUCCUGUUGGAUUCAGGAAGUACUUUUUCUAAAUCGAAAAAUACUAAUAAUUGUAUAGUCAUCUAAUCUCUGCUUAAUCUUCACUGCCGUGGCUAAGGUCUACUAGUUCAUCUUUACAAAUUUCAUUUUUUUUAGAAAAUCAAUAGUACCAAUUAAUAACACAUUUUCAUAUCACUUAACAUCUUGUAAAGUCAUUUUGCUUAUCCAUAGAAAAAAAUCCUUUGAGGUAGCUCAAAUACAACAUUAUUGUUUCUGUCUUUCUGUUGGGAAAAUGGUUCCAAAAUUAUUGAGUUCGAUUAUAGGAAUAUUAUAGAAGGAAUUAUAUAAUAUAGAUCAUCUACUUUAAAUUCUACUCUGACGUUACUUCAAAUAAUAUCCACCCCCAAUUCUCACCCUGCUUCUUUAUGAAAACUCCUACAUGUUUGGAUGAUUGCCAUGUUGCUUAUUUAUCACCAUUUUUCUUGAAGAAAAAUCCAUUCUUUUGCAAGCUCAUUUGAGAUUGUUUCUACAAUUUUUACCAUUGUGGUUGCUUGCCUCCAGUACUGUUAAAAUGUCAAAAUAUAUAGCUAUAAAUUGAGUGUAAAGAUACUUAUUGAAUGAUUUAUAUCAUAUGGAGCCAUAUGUCUGAACUAUCCUCUGAAUUACCGUUAUGGACUGGACUGUCAUUUAUCUAUAAAGAUUUGUGAUGAAAGAGGCAUCUCCAGUGCUUACUUCUAAAUGGUAUUCAAAACCUCUUACCAGACACUUUAAUGUGUCCUGCUCUGCAGCAUAGGGAAAAAAUAUAGUGGAGGUUUUGUCUCCUCAACUGAGGACACCAUUCCUCACUGGGGCACUUAGGUGGUACAGCAGUUAGGGGGCUAGGCCUGGAUCCAGGAAGACCUGAGUUCAAAUUUGACCUCAUACAUUUACAGUGUGACUCUGGAUAAGUCAACAAGCUUCUUUACUCAGUUUCUUAAAAUGGAAACCAGGGAUAAUAAGAGUACUUACAUUCCAGGGUUGUUUUAAAGAUGAAAUAUUUGUAAAGCACUUAGCACAGUACUUGACAUAUAGUAAAUUAUAUAUCUAUAUCUAUAUCUAUCUAUCUAUCUAUCUAUCUAUCUAUCUAUCUAUCUAUCUAUCUAUCUACUUGUUCUCCUUCCCAUUGGUCUAUCUCUUUCUUAUCCACCUCCUUCUAUAUCUUCAAUUCUAUCAAUUUUCUUGAAUCCAUGUCUUCAGUUUUCUAACAUUAUUUGGUACUUUGAUCUCUGACUAAAAGCUUAUUUUCAAAAAUUCCCUUAAUAUCAAGUACUGAUUAUGAGAGAAUAAAAGUAAAAUAAGAGAAACAUACACCUAUGGAAAUGUGUUUUUCUUUCUCUUCUGGAUAAAAGGGGUGUCUAUAGAUGAUAACCGCAUUCAACUAUGCUAAAUAGAUUUUUGCCCUAGUCUUUCUCUGUCGGGAAACACUAUUUUCAUGGUACAUUUAGCAAAUGCUAUUAUUAUAAUUGAUCUUCUAUGAAACUACAUAUUAUGCAAAUAAAUUAAUUAUCGUUCCUCAUAUUACAAUGGCUAGUAAAUCAAUUCAUAAUUAUGUGACACUUAAAAUAAAUAGAAUAACACUAUUUAAAUUUCCCUGCUGAAGUGCUAAUGCAUAACAUGUUCAGGGGUGAGGUAAUAAAACGGCAAGAGGUCAGACAGUAUUGAUGCUGAGAUGCAUGUAGUGUAGAUUAAACUGAAACCAUUGGAUUUUUAGGCCUUUUCCAUGUUUCUUUGAACCAAUAUAUAAAAAUUUUUGAAUACUUUGAAUAUCUCUCUAUACCUGUGAUGCAUGUUAUCAAAUUCAGUGGAGUUCAUCUGAAGCCAGGACAAAAUUUUUGUAAUAUUUUUGGCACAGCAUUUUUCUUCAAAACUGCAACUUUGAAAUAUUGCUUCUAAAAAAAAAAAAAGAAAUAUUGCUUCUAUAGAAGGGUACCACAUCUAGCCGACCUUGUUUUUCAAAGCAGACUGCUUAUUAAAGGACAUAAAUGAAAGUAAAGAGCAGUCUACACUGACUUGGAACUUCUGGUAGACUGUAUACAUUUCACUCUCUGCUCCUAAGCUAUUCAAUAGGAGAACUGUGAAGCAAUUAAGGUCUGAAUCAAACUUGCAGGAAGGUCAUGGAGAGAGACAAUAAAAGUCUGUCACCAUUGAGGGGCCUUCCUCUAAUUUCUUUUCUUUCCCUUAAGAUCUAGGGUAUAUGAAGGAGUAAAUAAGGAAAGACGGGUUCAAGGGUGUGCAUGUGUCACCAUAGAUGACAGACAACACGCACCAUAGCAGGAAUCUGAUGUAUUGAAUGACCUAAAAUGUAUAUUUUCUUGUAUUCAUAGCUAGGCAGUGAGGUGGUCCAGUAGAUAAAGUGACGGGUCUAGAGUCAUGAAGACUUUUUCAUGAAUUCAAAUCUAGCCUCUGAUGCUUACUUAGCUGUGUGAACCUAAGCAUAUUUGCUUUAGUUCUUCAUCACUAAAAUGUGUUAGAGAAAGAAAUUGAAAAUCACUUCAGUAAUUUUGCCAAGAACAUCCCAAAUGAAGUCUUAAAGGAUCAGACACAACUGAACAACAACAAUGAAUUCAGAUACCCAUGUCCAUAUUAUAGGAAUUCCAUCAUGAUUCAACUAGACAAGUUCCCAGUCAUGUUUAACUAGUGAUAUUUUUUUUCUAGGUGGAAAUGUCAUAUGCUAUAAUAUUUAAAAAUAAGUCCUAAUUGAUUUAUAUAGUCAUCACAUGGGAGAGAAGCAAGAGUUGCUAUUCCUGUAGUAGAAUUCAAAAAUCACUAACAAAAUUAUUUAAAAAUGAAAGAGGUAACCUUAGCAAUAAAAAACCCAACAGAAAACACAGGAUUAUCUCAAUAAAUGCAGAAAAAGCUCUUGAAAAAAUAUAAUGCCCAUUUCUAUUAAAAAAUACUAGAGAGAAUAAGAUUAAAUGGAGCUUUCCUUAAAAUGAUAAAUUGCUUUAUUAAACCAACAGCAAACAUUCCUUGUAAUGGGAGAAGCUAGAAGCCUUCCCAGUAAGAUAAGAAGUAAGGCAAGACUGUCCAAUAUUACUGAUAUUAUUCAAUAUUAUACUAGAAAUGCUAUCUAUAGCAAUAAGACAAGGCAAAGAUAUUGAAAAAAUUGAAAUAGGCAACAAAGAAAUGAAACUAACUUUUUUUUUCU